CGAUUACGGGAGGCAGCAGUGGGGAAUAUUGCACAAUGGGCGGAGGCCUGAUGCAGCGACGCCGCGUGAGGGAUGACGGCCUUCGGGUUGUAAACCUCUUUCGACAGGGACGAAGCUUUUGUGACGGUACCUGUAUAAGAAGCACCGGCUAACUACGUGCCAGCAGCCGCGGUAAUAUCG
rnacentral:rRNA from 1 species